GGACAUCAACUAGUUUUAUUAAUAUUUCAAAACAAUCUUUAUUUAAUUAUGUAAAUUUAAAUUUCUAACGGCUAAAUGCAUGUUAUGUGUUUUUUUUGUCCGAUUAUGAAAAAGAAUCUUUUUUUUUUGAACACCUAUGAAAAAGAAUAUUGGGAAGAUUUCCAUGGUAAUUAAAUAACAAUGUUAUUCAGUGACAAUUGUUCUACAAAAGACAAUACUGAACAAACAACACAUUUCUUUUUUUUUUUUAAAUAACAUUGCUUGGUUAGGAGAUAAGCAAAUAACUAUGGUGAUUUGAUAUAAACCAAAAACAUAAGAGGCAGUGUGGGAAUUUUUGUUUAAUUUUGGGUUUGGUUUGGUUUGUUUGGUUAGUUUAUGUUUGAUUAAACUCCAAUCAAUCUCCCCAAACUAAUUUUGGUUUAGUUUAAUUUGGUUUAAUUCGGUUUGGUUAUAUAGUGAUUUUGUAUUAGUUGUUAAAAAUAAUUUAUACUAUUAUUUGCGAAGUAAAUUUUUGCAACGGAGCUCUCACGUUAAAAGUUAUAGCGGUUAAUAUUGUUUAUACCCUUAAUGAAUAAAAUGUAUAAUUAAAUAGUAAGAAUUACCAAAAUCUGAAAAUAUAAUCAUAAAAAGAG
rnacentral:lncRNA from 1 species